rnacentral:lncRNA from 1 species
UCAGGGAUGCAAGACAGAGAAACCAACCUUUUCCCUCCUCCAGGGAGAGCUCCGGGAGGAAAGGCAAGAACGAGAAGGGUGCUCUCUCUGGAGGCCGAAGAGUUAACAUUUCCUGGAUUCCUCACACCCAUCCUCGGCCAGGCCGGCUGGUCCAGCCCCUCCACGUCCACCCCAGCCCGCCCCAAAGGUGCUUGGUGCUGAAGUUUGAGGAUGAAGGCUGGUCUGUAGGUGAGUGUCCAGCGAGCGGUCUCUGAAGAGCUCCACACAGCCAAGGAGCAGACAUUAAUUCCUCCACCUUCCUAGCCAGGACCAACUUGGAUCUCUUGACCCACUGAAGGCAGGAAGACUUGGCAGAAGGUCAGAGGUUUCAAUAUGUCUUUUCUAAACUUGCUUGGGAGUACAGUUCCUUUGGAGCUCUGUGGCCCUAAUUUAUUUUUAAAUGGUAUUGGUUAAGCACUUACCAUGUGCCAGGUGCUGUACUAAGCACCAGAGUCUCGUCUUAAGCCGUCGGGUCGUCUCCGAUCCAUAGGGACGCCAUGGACGCAUCUCUCCUAGAAUUAAUUCAUUCAGUUGUAUUUAUUGAGCACUUAUU